GACUUAAUAGUGUAGUGGUAAGCACAUUCCAUCAUUAUCUACGUACUUCUGAGCAAACAAUGGCAUAAACGUAAGCUUAGGCGUGUCGGUUGGUGAUGGAAAGGUCAUGGGUUCAAAUCCCACCUAGUCCA